GUUGGCGCCCCGACCUUCGGGCGCGGCUGUGCCCGUGGCCUAUUUUGGGCACACGAAAGCCGCCCGCAAAGUCUGGGCCAUUCCGAGUCCGGCGGACGAACUUCGCUCACGCCCCCCACCAAGGCUAUAGCCCACCAGUUUUUUGGCCAUUUAUCCGCUGGGGGGUGUUGGAACCCCAACCUUCGGGAGCUCAUUUUUGGGCGCGGCUGUGCCCGUGGCCUAUUUUUGUCACACGGAGGCCGCCCGCAAUGUCUGGGGAAAUUCCGAGUCCGGCGGACGAACUUCGCCCACGCCCCCCGCCAAGGCUAUAGCCCACCCGUUUUUUGGCCAUUUUUCCGCUGGCGAGUGUUGGCGCCCCGACCUUCGGCCGCGGCUGUGCCCGUGGCCUAUUUUUGGCACACGGAGGCCGCCCGCAAAGUCUGGAGCCAUUCCGAGUCCGGCGGACGAACUUCGCCCACGCCCCCCACCAAGGCUAUAGCCCACCCGUUUUUUGGCCAUUUUUCCGCUGGGGGGUCUUAGCGCCCCAACGGAAAGGGGGCUGAUUUUUGGGCGCGGCAGUGCCCGUGGCCUAUUUUUGGCACACGGAGGCCGCCCGCAAAGUCUGGGGCCAUUCCGAGUCCGGCGGACGAACUUCACCCACGCCCCCCACCAAGGCUAUAGCCCACCCGAUUUUUGGUCAUUUUUCCGCGGGGGGGUCUUGGCUCCCCGACCUUCGGGGGCUGAUUUUUGGGCGCGGCUGUGCCCGUGGCCUAUUUUUGGCACACGGAAUCCGCCCGCAAAGUCUUGGGCCAUUCCGAGUCCGGCGGACGAACUUCGCCCACGCCCCCCACGAAGACCAUAGCCCACCCAUUUUUUGGCCAUUUUUCCGCUGGGGUUUCUUGGCGCCCCGACCUUCGGGGGCUGAUUUUUGGGCGCGGCUGUGCCCGUGGCCUAUUUUUGGCACGCGGAGGCCGCCCGCAAAGUCUGGGGCCAUUCUGAGUCCGACGGACGAACUU
rnacentral:lncRNA from 1 species